rnacentral:rRNA from 1 species
UCUUUUGCGUGUCCUAAAAGCACAGGUGAAUAAGGGGUGGGCAAGUCUGGUGUCAGCCGCCGCGGUAAUACCAGCACCUCGAGUGGUCAGGACGUUUAUUGGGCCUAAAGCAUCCGUAGCCGGCUCUGCAAGUCUUCGGUUAAAUCCACCUGCUCAACAGAUGGGCCGCUGGAGAUACUACAGAGCUAGGGAGUGGGAGAGGCAGACGGUAUUCAGUGGGUAGGGGUAAAAUCCUCUGAUCCAUUGAGGACCACCAGUGGCGAAGGCGGUCUGCCAGAACACGUUCGACGGUGAGGGAUGAAAGCUGGGGGAGCAAACCGGAUUAGAUACCCGGGUAGUCCCAGCUGUAAACGAUGCAAACUCGGUGAUGCAUUGGCUUAUGGCCAAUGCAGUGCCGCAGGGAAGCCGUUAAGUUUGCCGCCUGGGAAGUACGGACGCAAGUCUGAAACUUAAAGGAAUUGGCGGGGGAGCACCACAAGGGGUGAAGCCUGCGGUUCAAUUGGAGUCAACGCCAGGAAUCUUACCCGGGGAGACAGCAGAAUGAAGGUCAAGCUGAAGACUUUACCAGACAAGCUGAGAGGAGUGCAGAC